ensembl:lncRNA
CCCUACUUCACAACUACAGUACUAAUGUACAGAAGAUCUUUCAUGGGAUAAAAUCCAUCAUGAGGAUCAAUAAUAAAAACGAUACGUUUAUUUUAGAGAAAGUAAAGAUACAGCUCUGAGUCUUCUCCUAUAACGCCUGAUGAGGUUGGAGAAUACAUGGCGAGGGAUCUGAGAGCGUUCCUCCAGACAGAACCUCUCCAGAUCCUUCACAUUUCAGGUCCAUGCUGGUGGACUCUCCUCUUCAGUUCACCCCACAGGGUUUCUAUGGGGUUCAGGUCAGGGGACUGGGGUGGUCAGGGCAGGACCUUGAUUUUGUGGUCAGUAAAACAUUUCUGUGUUGAUGUUGAUGUUUUGGAUCAUCGUCCUGCUGGAAGAUCCAACCACGGCCCAUUUGAAGCUUUCUGUCAGAGGCAGUCAGGUUUUCAUUUAAUAUCUGUUGAUAUUUGAUAGAGUUCAUGAUGCCAUGUAUCCUAACAAAAUGUCCAGGUCCUCUGGCAGAAAAACAGCCCAAAACAUUAAAGAUCCACCUCCAUAUUUAACCGUGGGCAUGAGGGACUUUUCCAUACGGCUCCCUCUCUGUGUGCUCCAAAACCACCUCUGUGUUUAUUACCAAAAAGCUCUAUUCUGGUUUCAUCUGACCACAGAACCCGGUCCCAUUUGAAGUUCCAGUAGUGUCGGCACACUGAAGACGCUCGAGUUUGUUUUUGGAUGAGAGUAGAGGCUUUUUUCUUGAACCCCUUCCAAACAGCUUGUGGUGAUGUCGGUGACUUCAGAUUGUAGUUUUGGAGACUUUCUGACCCCAAGACACGACUAACUUCUGCAGUUCUCCAGCUGUGAUCCUUGGAGAUGUUUUAUCCACUCGAACCUUCCUCUUCACAGUGCGUUGAGACGAUACAGACACACGUCUAAUUCCAGGUCCAUUCAUAACAUUUCGAGUCGACUGGAACUUCUUAAUUAUUGCCCUGAUGGUGGAAAUGAGCGUUUUCAAUGCUUGUGCUAUUUUCUUAUAGUCACGCCCCAUUGUGUGAAGCUCAACAACCUUUUGCUGCACAUCACAGCUAUAUUCCUUGUUCUCACCCAUCGUUAUGAAUGAAAUUUGGCCUACAUGUUCCCUCAUACUCAUCCCUGUGAAACAGGAAGUCAUGGUAGAACAAUUUCCUGUUCAUAGUCGCCCAGGUGCACUAAAAAUAGUUUUUUUAAUAUCAAUGGGAAUAUACUUCUAACAUGUUUCUCUCAUGAAUUCACAGGGGUGCCAAUAAUUGUUGCACACCAAUAUUUAAAGAGUUUUUAAAAUAAAAAUAUCUGUUGUGCUUGCAAUUGUUCGAUAUCUACGAGAGCAGAGUAUUUUUGUGAAUGUUUUGAACAAAAGUGUAAACAAUAAAGAAUUUUUCACAGCCUUCUUUGCUCAUAUUUAUCAAGGGUGCCAAUAUUAACGGAGGGCGCCGUAGUUCCUUAAAUCCUGUAGCUAAAAUGGUGUGUAAAUGAAAUCCGGCACACUGCACGGUGUGAAGUCUGUAAGGUGGAUACGGUGUGUUUUAAUGCGGUGGUGAAAGUGGCGAGCGUAAGCAGGUCAGCUCCUGCCUGCAGUCUGGCUCAUCCACGUCUCAGGAGACUGCAGCAUCUUCUACAAACACUGCUGAACCUGCAUACACACACUCACAGGUGUGUGUGUGUGAGAGAGAGUGAGAUAUUAAGGUGAUAGGAGUUGGAUAUAUCUACGGUGAAAUGUCACAAGUGCUGCAGUAGACAGCUGAAUAUCUCUUCGAUCUGAACACAGCGUCUCUGCUCAGGCCCGUUGAGAGAGCUACACCCCCUUUACGAGAGCCACGCCCCCAUUAAGAGAGCCUCUUUCGGAGGUGUCAGACGAGCUCAUAUCC